rnacentral:lncRNA from 1 species
ACUCUGGGAGAAGCUGGCUGCCAUGUCCUGAGGACACUCAAGCAGUCCUGUGAAGAGGUCCACAUGGUGAGGAACCGAGACCUUGCUGAACUUUGCAGUCCCAAUACGGCGGGGGAAGCUGUAAGGAGAAGAAAUGGGAUUGGAAAUGUGGUAUAAGGGAGAACAACGACAACAAAAGUAAAAAUGAAAUAAAACAGUGGCCAUGCAGGGGGCCCAUGAAGAGCUUAGAAGGAUAGAAGAAAAAGAUGUUUUUCCUCUCCUGUACAACCUACAUGAAGUUCUUAUGGAUCGUCUGAAAUUUGCUUCUACCCUCUCUCAAGAGCUGGGAGGACAAACAGUGCUCAUGGAAGAAGGCUGACGUGGUACACAGAAAGCCACCCACAUCUGAGGAAGAGAAUCCGGUUAAAACGAAGCUAGGAAUACAGAUUUCAGAGCUCUUGAGAUUCUCAUAUAUUUAAUAUCUGUUCAGAGGAACAAGGAUGCAGUCACAACCACUCUUGGAGGAUCUAUUUGCCGUCAAAGUGUAAUUGGAUUUUGCUAUAGCAGUUCAUUUUGGUCGGAGUGGGGAUGGGAAGGUGAUUACAAAGUAGCAAAUAAGAUGUAAGUGAUGGUCCCUUUGAUUUUUUUUCUUUUCCUACUCUUGGAUCUUUACAGAUACUGGGAAUAAACCCCUUAUCCCCCCAGUGGUCUUAGAAAAC